rnacentral:rRNA from 1 species
GAUGAACGCUGGCGGCGUGCUUAACACAUGCAAGUCGAACGAAGCAUUUAAGACAGAUUACUUCGGUUUGAGGUCUUUUAUGACUGAGUGGCGGACGGGUGAGUAACGCGUGGGUAACCUGCCUCAUACAGGGGGAUAGCAGCUGGAAACGGCUGGUAAUACCGCAUAAGCGCACAGUACCACAUGGUACAGUGUGAAAAACUCCGGUGGUAUGAGAUGGACCCGCGUCUGAUUAGCUUGUUGGCGGGGUAACGGCCCACCAAGGCGACGAUCAGUAGCCGACCUGAGAGGGUGCCCGGCCACAUUGGGACUGAGACACGGCCCAGACUCCUAAGGGAGGCGGCAGUGGGGAAUAUUGCACAAGGGAGGAAACUCUGAUGCAGCGACGCCGCGUGAGUGAAGAAGUAGUUCGCUAUGUAAAGCUCUAUCAGCAGGGAAGAUAGUGACGGUACCUGACUAAGAAGCACCGGCUAAAUACGUG